rnacentral:lncRNA from 1 species
CGUCCGCUCAGGGCUCACUCCAGAGCCGGGUUUUCCUCUCUCCCAAGGGGCCUUUGAGCCUGAGCAGCAGCAAGCCUCCCUGGACGCGUUCCCCGAAACCUCUCAGGAGGAAGAGCCCGGGAGUGAGCGAGCUUCCAUGGGAAGGCGUGACGUUUUUCAGAGGAGGGGGGUGAAGGGCACCACAGCUCAGAGCCCGACCCAGCAGCAGGGACCAGGUGAAGGCCCACAGUGGUGGAGGGACGUCCAGGGAGGACACGUGCAGCAAAGAAAGUGUGGCUUCAUUACCUCUGUGGAAGAGAAGGCCCAUCCUACAUCUAUUUUGGAAGAGCACAUUUAGAGUAUACAGAAAAAAAAGUCUGGAAAGAGUUGAACCAAAAAGUGUACUGUGCGUUUUGGGAGCGUAGUUAUUGGUGUUACUUUCUUUGAUUUCAGAUGAAAAUAGAACUAUUUCUAUUUUUUUUAAGUGAAUACCAGGUUGAUUACGAGGCUGAAAAAUAAAGUAUUCUAUUUUAAUGCUUGCAUUCAAAAUGUAACUGUGAUCAACACUCCAGUUCAAUUGCCCCCUUCUUUUGAUGCAGGAAAUUUUUCUGCAUCAGAAUUAUCACAAAUUUUAUUAAGGCUUUUAAAGAUCGUCCAUGACAUUAAUUGAACAUCAG